rnacentral:rRNA from 1 species
UACGUAGGGGGCAAGCGUUAUCCGGAUUUACUGGGUGUAAAGGGAGCGUAGACGGUGUGGCAAGUCUGAUGUGAAAGGCAUGGGCUCAACCUGUGGACUGCAUUGGAAACUGUCAUACUUGAGUGCCGGAGGGGUAAGCGGAAUUCCUAGUGUAGCGGUGAAAUGCGUAGAUAUUAGAAGGAACACCAGUGGCGAAGGCGGCUUACUGGACGGUAACUGACGUUGAGGCUCGAAAGCGUGGGGAGCAAACAGG